rnacentral:lncRNA from 1 species
GCUUCCAUGUUCAAACAUGAUAAGUAUGUAUACUUCUUUGAGGUUCAAAUUCUACAGAUGUUGCAUAAUAUUGGUGACAAAGUGCCUCUCCUUAGGGAUUGAUUUAAACCGCAUAUGAGCUACUAAAACAAUUGUUUUGCUGUUCAAACAUGAAAUUCUAGUUCUUUGUUUCAAACAUCGAAAUGUUGUUUACCUUGUCCUUCGAUGCUUAGAUGGUAAAAAUGUCGCAUUUAUAGGAUUGUACACCUGAUGUGAUCGGAGUAGGAUUUACUCGCUGCUCACAGUUACUACUUGUAUUCAUUGAUUUAUAUGCCUCAUUUUGGUUGUUUUACUCUCAUUUACACAGACAAACUGCCUACAAGUUAGUGUGCUGUUAGAUUUUCUUUUAUUUUGUUCUUAACCAUUUUGUCUGAUAACUUGCAGAUGUUGGCCUACAUUCAUGUUUCGUCGCAAGGUCCAGGACCAAGAAGUCAGGAGAAGCACAAAGUUCUUGAUCAUUGGAGCUAGUUAUUGUUUUGAUUUUUUAGUUGUGUUACCUGAUGUGAACUAGUUUUGAUUGUAAACCUGAUGCGAACCAUGUUUGAUUGAAAUGUGCCAAGUUUGGAUAUGUUUGAUUGUAUUCAUGAUGUGACACAUGUUCAAGUUAUAAUGGUUGUUUGACAUAUUUUGUAAUUUCUGAUGUGUG